rnacentral:rRNA from 1 species
GACGAACGCUGGCGGCGUGCCUAAUACAUGCAAGUGGGACGCAAGGAAACACACUGUGCUUGCACACCGUGUUUUCUUGAGUCGCGAACGGGUGAGUAACGCGUAGGUAACCUGCCUAUUAGCGGGGGAUAACUAUUGGAAACGAUAGCUAAUACCGCAUAAUAUUAAUUAUUGCAUGAUAAUUGAUUGAAAGAUGCAAGCGCAUCACUAGUAGAUGGACCUGCGUUGUAUUAGCUAGUUGGUAAGGUAAGAGCUUACCAAGGCGACGAGACAUAGCCGACCUGAGAGGGUGAUCGGCCACACUGGGACUGAGACACGGCCCAGACUCCUACGGGAGGCAGCAGUAGGGAAUCUUCGGCAAUGGACGAAAGUCUGACCGAGCAACGCCGCGUGAGUGAAGAAGGUUUUCGGAUCGUAAAGCUCUGUUGUAAGUCAAGAACGUGUGUGAGAGUGGAAAGUUCACACAGUGACGGUAGCUUACCAGAAAGGGACGGCUAACUACGUG